AUCUCAGGCAUCCUCCACCGUCGCCGCGUCACUGCCUCUGUCUUCAUUCGCAGCAGAAGAAUUAAUGCUCCUAAUGUCGGUGCCAGUGUCUUCGGGCACCGGAGGAGAGGCAGGGCCGUGGAUGCUGAUCAUAAGGUGCUCCGCCGUGGCAGAUUCCAGUAGAGUUACAAAGAGGGCGUCCAUGGCCGUCGGGUAUGCAACGGAGAAUGAGAAUAUGGUGGAAAAUUAAGUUUCGCUUACGGAUUGCGUAGCCUCCCAUCUCGCCGACCGAUGCGGUGACACCGAUUCGAUGUGGCAACAGAUGAUCAUCGUCGCCCGGCUUGCACUUGUUGGAUCCGACUCUACUUGCUGCCGGUGAAGACGGACUCAUCGGAGAAGUUGACGGCGAUGCUAAUCUGGCAGAGAGUGAGGGCUUCGACUUGGCUUAGGGAUAUAAAUGUCAUUAUGCAGCAUAACCAAGCCUAUAUAGGUUUGGAAAAAUAUUUUAGGGUGGGGAUGAAAACGAACCUAAAAAGCAGGGAUAGCCUCUAAUUUUCU